GAUGAACGCUGGCGGCGUGCCUAAUACAUGCAAGUCGAGCGAACAGACGAGGAGCUUGUUCCUCUGACGUUAGCGGCGGACGGGUGAGUAACACGUGGAUAACCUACCUAUAAGACUGGGAUAACUUCGGGAAACCGGAGCUAAUACCGGAUAAUAUAUUGAACCGCAUGGUUCAAUAGUGAAAGACGGUUUUGCUGUCACUUAUAGAUGGAUCCGCGCCGCAUUAGCUAGUUGGUAAGGUAACGGCUUACCAAGGCGACGAUGCGUAGCCGACCUGAGAGGGUGAUCGGCCACACUGGAACUGAGACACGGUCCAGACUCCUACGGGAGGCAGCAGUAGGGAAUCUUCCGCAAUGGGCGAAAGCCUGACGGAGCAACGCCGCGUGAGUGAUGAAGGUCUUCGGAUCGUAAAACUCUGUUAUUAGGGAAGAACAAAUGUGUAAGUAACUAUGCACGUCUUGACGGUACCUAAUCAGAAAGCCACGGCUAACUACGUG
rnacentral:rRNA from 1 species